AGAGUUUGAUCCUGGCUCAGGAUGAACGCUGGCGGCGUGCCUAACACAUGCAAGUCGAGCGAUGAAAUUUCCUUCGGGGAAUGGAUUAGCGGCGGACGGGUGAGUAACACGUGGGUAACCUGCCUCAUAGUGGGGGAUAGCCUUCCGAAAGGAAGAUUAAUACCGCAUAAUAUCAUUAGAUGGCAUCAUUUAGUGAUCAAAGGAUUUAUUCGCUAUGAGAUGGACCCGCGUCGCAUUAGCUAGUUGGUAAGGUAAUGGCUUACCAAGGCGACGAUGCGUAGCCGACCUGAGAGGGUGAUCGGCCACAUUGGGACUGAGACACGGCCCAGACUCCUACGGGAGGCAGCAGUGGGGAAUAUUGCACAAUGGGGGAAACCCUGAUGCAGCAACGCCGCGUGAGUGAUGACGGUCUUCGGAUUGUAAAGCUCUGUCUUUGUGGACGAUAAUGACGGUACCCAAGGAGGAAGCCACGGCUAACUACGUGCCAGCAGCCGCGGUAAUACGUAGGUGGCGAGCGUUAUCCGGAAUUAUUGGGCGUAAAGGGAGCGUAGGCGGAUAAUUAAGUGGGAUGUGAAAUACUCAGGCUCAACCUGGGGGCUGCAUUCCAAACUGAUUAUCUAGAGUGCAGGAGAGGAGAGUGGAAUUCCUAGUGUAGCGGUGAAAUGCGUAGAGAUUAGGAAGAACACCAGUGGCGAAGGCGACUCUCUGGACUGUAACUGACGCUGAGGCUCGAAAGCGUGGGGAGCAAACAGGAUUAGAUACCCUGGUAGUCCAUGCCGUAAACGAUGAAUACUAGGUGUGGGGGUUUCAACACCUCCGUGCCGCCGCUAACGCAUUAAGUAUUCCGCCUGGGGAGUACGGUCGCAAGAUUAAAACUCAAAGGAAUUGACGGGGACCCGCACAAGCAGCGGAGCAUGUGGUUUAAUUCGAAGCAACGCGAAGAACCUUACCAGGUCUUGACAUACUCGUGCUAUCCUUAGAGAUAAGGAGUUCCUUCGGGACACGGGAUACAGGUGGUGCAUGGUCGUCGUCAGCUCGUGUCGUGAGAUGUUGGGUUAAGUCACGCAACGAGCGCAACCCUUAUUACUAGUUGCCAUCAUUAAGUUGGGCACUCUAGUGAGACUGCCGGUGAUAAACCGGAGGAAGGUGAGGAUGACGUCAAAUCAUCAUGCCCCUUAUGACCUGGGCUACACACGUGCUACAAUGGAUGGUACAACGAGUCGCCAACCCGCGAGGGUGCGCUAAUCUCUUAAAACCAUUCUCAGUUCGGAUUGCAGGCUGCAACUCGCCUGCAUGAAGUCGGAAUCGCUAGUAAUCGCGGAUCAGCACGCCGCGGUGAAUACGUUCCCGGGCCUUGCACUCACCGCCCGUCA
rnacentral:rRNA from 1 species